CGACCGGCGCACGGGUGCGUAACGCGUAUGCAACCUACCUUUAACAGGGGGAUAACACUGAGAAAUUGGUACUAAUACCCCAUAAUAUCAUAGGAGGCAUCUUUUAUGGUUGAAAAUUCCGAUGGUUAGAGAUGGGCAUGCGUUGUAUUAGCUAGUUGGUGGGGUAACGGCUCACCAAGGCGACGAUACAUAGGGGGACUGAGAGGUUAACCCCCCACACUGGUACUGAGACACGGACCAG
rnacentral:rRNA from 1 species